CCAGAGUGACCACACUGACCACAGCAGUGACCACACUGACCACCAGAGUGACCACAGUGACCACCAGGGAGUCCCAAAUGACCACCUGAGUGACCACACGAGUGACCACUCUGACCACAGUGACCACCACAGUGACCCCCAGAGUGACCCCACUGACCACUGGGAUGACGCCAACGGCCACCACAAUGACCGCCCGAGUGACCACGGUAUCUCCAAUGACCAGCAGAGUAACCAGGAUGCCCAGAGUGCCCACCAGGAUGCCCAGCAGAGUGACCACCAGGAUGACCACCAGGAUGCCCAGCAGAGUGCCCAGCAGGAUGCCCAGCAGAAUGCCCAGACUGACCACCAGGAUGCCCAGCAGAGUGCCCAGAGUGACCAGCAGAGUGCCCAGGAUGCCCAGACUGACCAGCAGAGUGCCCAGCAGAGUGACCAGGAUGCCCAGAGUGCCCAGAGUGACCAGACUGACCAGCAGAGUGCCCAGAGUGCUCAGCAGAGUGACCACCAGGAUGCCCACCAGAAUGCCCAGAGUGACCAGAGUGCCCAGAGUGCCUGGAGUGACCACCAGGAUGACCACCAGAGUGCCCAGACUGACCACCAGGAUGCUCAGCAGAG
ensembl:lncRNA